rnacentral:rRNA from 1 species
GCAUAUCAAUAAGCGGAGGAAAAGAAAAUAACAAUGAUUCCUCUAGUAACUGCGAGUGAAGAGGGAAAAGCUCAAAUUUUAAAUCUGUUAGGUUUACCUAACCGAGUUGUAAUUUGAAGAAGCGUUUUCUGCGAAUUUGGUUAGUCCAAAUCCUUUGGAAUAAGGUAUCAUGGAGGGUGAGAAUCCCGUUCGGUUAACCAAAGCGCUUUACGAUACGCUUUCAAAGAGUCAAGUUGUUUGGGAUUGCAGCUUAAAAUGGGAGGUAAAUUUCUCCUAAGGCUAAAUAUUGGCGAGAGACCGAUAGCGAACAAGUACCGUGAGGGAAAGAUGAAAAGAACUUUGAAAAGAGAGUUAAACAGUACGUGAAAUUGUUGAAAGGGAAACGAUUAAAGUCAGUCGUACCUACGAGUAAUCAACCUACUCGAGUGCGAUUUUGUGGGUAUGUUAGAGUUUAAACCUUCAUGCUUACAAAUUGGUGCUCUUUGGGCGUACUUUCUCGUAUGGUAGGUUAACAUCAAUUUCGAUCGUUAUAAAAUGACUGGAGGAAUGUAGCUUCGAUCUCGGUUGAAGUGUUAUAGCCUUUGGUAGAUGUAAUGAUUGGGAUUGAGGAUUGCAACGGAUACCCUCUGGGCUAUUCGUCUGAUCUCUGGAAGUUACCUUGGUGUCGAAAGCGUGCUUACGAUAUUAAGGUUGACGGCCAAUAGGUUAGAACGUGAUUAAAUUCGUUAAGGAUGUUGACGUAAUGGCUUUAAACGAC